GGUUCCUUGAAAAGGAGAGAGUGAUUUCGUUUUUCUAAAUGUUCUUGAGUGUUCUUGAGAGUUCUUGAGAUUUUUCAAGAGCUAGAUCCUUUAAAGUUCAAGUUUGUGUCUGUUGGUGUUUCUUUUGGAGAUCCAGCUUGAUAAUAAAAUUAAGCAAGUCAUUUGAGUCUUUCUCUUAGUCUUUAGUCUCCAUGAUCUCUUAGUAGUCUCUUAAACUCUUUCUAGACUCUUAUCUUCUCCAAAUCCAUUCUAAUCUUUCCUAAAUACUCAGAUUACUCUAAACAUUACUAAAAGUCAUAUGGUAUCAGAGCCAGGUUCGUGAGAACCUGAGUUCGUGGUUGACUCUUUGAGGAUUCAAGAUUGAACCUUUAAAGAGUUUGGUUGGUGUUCUUGUGUUCUUGGGAGGUUCUGGGUAUUGUCCGAGUUCAAAGACUAGUUUUUAGUGUGUUGUUGAAGCUGUGAGGUUGAAGACCAAGGCAGUGUGUGUUCUUACAAGUCUUCUAACUCAAGAUCCAGUUUGUGAAGUCUAGAGAAACCAUAGUUCAUCAUGGAGAGUGGUAUGAACAUGAAC
rnacentral:lncRNA from 1 species